rnacentral:rRNA from 1 species
AUUGAACGCUAGCGGGAUGCCUUACACAUGCAAGUCGAACGGCAGCGCGGACUUCGGUCUGGCGGCGAGUGGCGAACGGGUGAGUAAUGUAUCGGAACGUGCCCAGUAGCGGGGGAUAACUACUCGAAAGAGUAGCUAAUACCGCAUACGCCCUACGGGGGGAAGGGGGGGAUCGCAAGACCUCUCACUAUUGGAGCGGCCGAUAUCGGAUUAGCUAGUUGGUGAGGUAAAGGCUCACCAAGGCGACGAUCCGUAGCUGGUUUGAGAGGACGACCAGCCACACGGGGGCUGAGGCACGGGCCAGAAUCCUACGGGAGGCAGCAGUGGGGAAUUUUUGACAAUGGGGGAAACCCUGAUCCAGCCAUUCCGCGUGUGUGAUGAAGGCCUUCGGGUUGUAAAGCACUUUUGGCAGGAAAGAAAUCGCAUCAAUUAAUACUUGGUGUGGAUGACGGUACCUGCAGAAUAAGCACCGGCUAACUACGUGCCAGCCGCCGCCGUAA